UACGUAGGGUGCAAGCGUUAAUCGGAAUUACUGGGCGUAAAGCGUGCGCAGGCGGUUUUGUAAGUUUGUCGUGAAAUCCCCGGGCUCAACCUGGGAAUGGCGAUGAAGACUGCAAGGCUAGAGUUUGGCAGAGGGGGGUAGAAUUCCACGUGUAGCAGUGAAAUGCGUGAGAUAUGAUGGAGGAACACCGAUGGCGAAGGCAGCCCC
rnacentral:rRNA from 1 species